UUUCCGUAGGUGAACCUGCGGAAGGAUCAUUGAAACCGAUCAAACCACCCACAGCGAACUGGCGCGCCCCGCCCCUUCGGGGGUCCCGGGUGCGCCCUGGCAGGUAUACUCCCGGCGCCCACUGCCGCGCCGGUUUUUUUUCCCCACUCCAAAGGUUCUGACCUGAAUUUAUUCGUGCGGGCACCGCCUCACGUCUUACAACAGAGAUAACUCUCAACAACGGAUAUCUUGGCUCUCGCAACGAUGAAGAACGCAGCGAAAUGCGAUACGUAGUGUGAAUUGCAGAAUUCCGUGAAUCAUCAAAACUUUGAAA
rnacentral:misc_RNA from 1 species